rnacentral:misc_RNA from 1 species
ACUCCUUUGCACUAUGCUGCUUGUGGGGGGAAUUUAAAGUGUUGUCAGAUCCUUAUUGCAAGAGGUGCCAGUCGGAUGACAUUAAACUGCAAUGGGUGGUUGCCGGUUGAUGUUGCCAGGAUGUGGGGGCGUCAUUGGCUUGAACCCUUGUUGACGCAAAAUUCUGACUAUCAUACCAAGAUUUCCUUAUUCUAAUUACUUAUCCUUGCCUCUUUUGAGCGUACUUACCAUAGCAAGAGCGUUCGGGAUGCAGUGUUCAACAACCUCCUCUGAUGACCCUGAUAUUUGUGCU